rnacentral:rRNA from 1 species
AGAGUUUGAUCAUGGCUCAGAACGAACGUUAGCGGCGCGCCUAACACAUGCAAGUCGCACGAGAAGGGGCUUCGGCCCUUGUACAGUGGCGCACGGGUGAGUAACACGUGGGUAACGUUCCCUCAGGCGGGGGAUAACCUUCCGAAAGGAGGGCUAAUACCGCAUAAGACCACGGCCUCGAAAGGGGCUGAGGUCAAAGC